ACACACACACAUCUUACCAAAUGAACAGCUAAUAUACCACAGUAAAAGUGUCUCCAGACAGAAUAGCUUUAAAGCUGCAGCACCAAAUAUAUUAUUGUCCAUGUUAAACUCCUAAACUCUAGUCCUAAUGUGUUACGUCAUUCAUUCUUGGUAACCCUGAAAACAAUUGGACAUGGCUGGCACUUCCCACCCAGGCUUUUUAAUAGGCCAUGAGAGACGCUGCUGGGGCUUAUCAUGUUAUUUUCUUCCUGUGUUCACUUGCGUUUUCUGGGAAAUGAGUUCGGUGCCAAAAAAACUCCACAGUGUUCCCGUAAUCUACAACAUCACUGGCUCUUCCUGAAAACAACCUGUCUGCCCAUGCUUGAGGUGUUUGGUCUAUCUACUGUACUAUCAAUGGAGGGAGAGAUGGGCGGGGGAAGAGCUGACUUCCUUGUAGAAGAACAAUUAUUCUGCACUUCUUUGUCUGUGUUGUUCUGAAUCUGAACACUGCUACCCUAUGGGCCUGUCCUCUAAAACUCUCAACAGGCACGAACUUAUAUUUUCUCACUUUUGUUCUUUCUGCCUCUUUCUCUAUCACUUGCCCUCUCUCACCCCUGCCACUCUCUGCUUCGCCUCUCUCUCUCACUUGCCCUCUUUCACCCUCUCUGCCCCUCUCCCUCCCUCACUCUCUCACUUGCGCUCUCUCAUCCCUGCCACUCUCUCCCUCCCUCACUCUCUCAUUUGCCAUCUCUCACCCUCUCUGCCCCUCUCCCUCCCUCACUCUCUCACUCUCUCUCUCUCACCCUCUCCCCACUGCUCCCCCUCUCUUUCCGUGGCGCACUUUCACUUUCUGCCUCGUUUACCUUCUCUCACUCUCUUGGCCCUCCCUCCUGUCUCUAGAACAGAGUAGGGUGCACACGCACAACCUCCUACUGUCUCUCCUACUUCGUUUUUCUCUCACUCUGCCUGAGUCUCCCAUGGCUGACUGUCUCUCUGUCUGCAGUGAAGCUGACACUGUCUCUCUCUGUGUGUCUGUCCCCUGUGUGCAGCACAUGUCGAAGAGGUUCCUGUGGUGUUCCUACUGGGUAGGCUUGGGUAACUGGGGACUGGCAUGCACACCUUCCUCCUGUACCUGGGUCCACACAUAGCUUCAGUGAUCCUUGCAGAGUAUGAAUGUAGUUCAGUGGACUUCCCGCAGCCCCCCUACCCAGAGAAGAUCAUCUGCCCCCAGGAGGAAUUCCUGUUGGGGGAGACUGAGGCCGGGGUCCAGGGUGGUAUGGAGGACAUGGCGGGGGCAGCAGCUGUGCAGUGAGGCAUCUCCCUCUGGACCAUCGUCGUCAAGACCCGCCUGGAAGCCUGCAUGUGGAUGAGUCUACUGUAACUGUACUUGUAGCCUACACACGGUUAACACACAGUCUACUGGACAGUCCAUGGCACAUAGACACACAGUCUACUGGACAGUCCAUGGCACAUAGACACACAGUCUACUGGACAGUCCAUGGCACAUAGACACACAGUCUACUGGACAGUCCAUGGCACAUAGACACACAGUCUACUGGACAGUCCAUGGCACAUAGACACACAGUCUACUGGACAGUCCAUGGCACAUAGACACACAGUCUACUGGACAGUCCAUGGCACAUAGACACACAGUCUACUGGACUAUCAGUAUUGGUAGAGGUUGAGACAUAUCAAACAUUUAAUUUACCGUUUUUAGCAAUAAUAACUAACCUCUGAUUGAUUGGAAAACCCCAGCCUUUCACGGUGAAUUCCCCUAAAAACCUCGUGGUUUAACCUAGCCAUGUGCUUAGGUACUGGGGACCUGAGACUGACAGUUGACAAUCCUUCAUCACUGUCACACACGCACACACACCACUGUCACACACACACCACUGUCACACAUACAGUAACACUGUAAGAAGAGCCAGCCCCUGGCACAGGUAGAGGGUUAUACCCAGUUAUUCUGGAUGCAUUCUGACUCUGGAGGCCUUGUGGCUGUGGUGACCACUACAAUGACUCAGACAUAUCUCUGACUCAGACAUAUCUCUAACUGGUAACUGUCUGUAUCAGCCACAAAACUACAAUGAGAUUAUAUUUCUAUGGUAUCAGUUUCCCACUGAUGAUCAGCAGUACUGUUCCUGAAUUCUCAGCUCUCACAGCUCUUUUACCGGCAGUGUAGCAGCGUCAGGCCCUUUUUCAGCGCCUCCCUCUCAGAGUAUAACUGUAUCUACUGAGAAACACUGCUGGUUAACAGACAGAGAGCUCUGAGAAUAGAGGGCUCAUCUCUAUGACCUGUGGUGAAAUGAGGUCUUUUUCAUUUUGAUCUAAGCUGACAACAUUAGAAAUGGAAGCUGUUAUCUUACUCUGGUCUAAAGCACAUUUCACAUGUUACUGGCCGUUGGGAACAGAGUACAUUUACCUUUACUGCUACUGCUACUGCUGCUACUGCUACUACUACUACUACUACUACUACUACUACUGCUGCUACUACUGCUGCUGCUACUACUACUGCUGCUUCUGCUACUGCUGCUACUACUACUACUGCUGCUACUGCUACU